UACGUAGGGGGCGAGCGUUGUUCGGAAUUACUGGGCGUAAAGGGUUCGUAGGUGGCCUGCUAAGUCAGACGUGAAAUCCCUCGGCUUAACCGGGGAACUGCGUCUGAUACUGGAUGGCUUGAGUUCGGGAGAGGGAUGCGGAAUUCCAGGUGUAGCGGUGAAAUGCGUAGAUAUCUGGAGGAACACCGGUGGCGAAGGCGGCAUCCUGGACCGACACUGACGCUGAGGAGCGAAAGCCAGGGGAGCAAACGGG
rnacentral:rRNA from 1 species